AAAUCUCAGUCUUGUUGAAAUUUAGAAGUCCAAUGCCUUGAAAUUCAUUUUUUCCUGUCCGCUUCUCUGUGAUUUUUAUUAUAUCAUACCAAUCAGUAUCUACAUUUGACAUGUACCGAGCAUCUGAGCCACCCCAUAUCCACCUGUUCACAAAAUUGUGAAGACUUCAAUAUUAUACCAUUAUGCUAAGAAGAUAACAGUGAAACGUACCGUGAGCCAGAGCCUGAUAAAUGGUUGGUAUUGUAAACUUCUGGUGAGUAGAGGAACAUUACAAAAGUGGCGGAAAUGGUUAUCAAUAGGAUAAGUUUUAAGAAAGAAAACUUGCAUUUUGAGCUUCUAUCUUGGAUAGAUAAGUGGAAAGGCUUCUCUACAUCUUUUACUUUACUUUUUGGCACUCUUCUCUUGUAUAAAUCUUCGCUGUACCUCGUAGUUAAUGAGACAAAUUUAAUACACACAAGCUAGAGAAAAAAUCACCAAAUUGUACCUUGUAAUUAGUGAGACAAAAAUGCAUGUCACUUGUCUUUAAUAUUGUAAUUUAUGUCCUUAAAUUAAAUGUUGGAGUUUGACGUUGAAAUCAACCUGAAUUCCAACGUCAUGUUACAAGUAUAUAAUCAUUCAUAAGCUCAAAA